rnacentral:misc_RNA from 1 species
GGAGGCCUUCCUCGGCUAAAGCUGUCGGGUGAAACUGCACGAAUUCCAUGUUUGAGAUCACGGCUUGAGCACGGUGUGCCAUUGCAAUUCCAUCACCAGUUGCAACCAGAGGAUUUGUGGUCGUGGGGUAAAUAUGCCCAGCUCCUCCAGAUGCAAGCAAGACCACUUUAGAGAUGAAACGGACAAUCUGUUGUGUUCCUAUAUUUAGUGUAUCCACGCCAUAGCAAGAUACUUCUUUAUCACCCUGUGAAGUCAACAGAUCAAUAGCAAAAUGGUGGCCAAACAUAGAAAUGUUAGGAUCUUUC